GACGAACGCUGGCGGCGUGCUUAACACAUGCAAGUCGAACGGAAAGGCCCUGCUUUUGUGGGGUGCUCGAGUGGCGAACGGGUGAGUAACACGUGAGUAACCUGCCCUUGACUUUGGGAUAACUUCAGGAAACUGGGGCUAAUACCGGAUAGGAGCUCCUGCUGCAUGGUGGGGGUUGGAAAGUUUCGGCGGUUGGGGAUGGACUCGCGGCUUAUCAGCUUGUUGGUGGGGUAGUGGCUUACCAAGGCUUUGACGGGUAGCCGGCCUGAGAGGGUGACCGGCCACAUUGGGACUGAGAUACGGCCCAGACUCCUACGGGAGGCAGCAGUGGGGAAUAUUACACAAUGGGCGGAAGCCUGAUGCAGCAACGCCGCGUGCGGGAUGACGGCCUUCGGGUUGUAAACCGCUUUCGCCUGUGACGAAGCGUGAGUGACGGUAAUGGGUAAAGAAGCACCGGCUAACUACGCG
rnacentral:rRNA from 1 species